ACCACCCAAUCCUCGAAGGCUUUCUUAUACUAAAGCGUUCAUUGGUGAUCUAGGGAAAUGCACUAAGUGUUGAACGAAAGGCUCCAAUGAAAACCCAGGAAUUCUGAAUUGGACCAAACGCCUAUCCGUCCACUAAGCAAAGAAACUCCAUUCCAGCAGAGAAAUCGUCGGACUUUCCCGACUACAACUCCCAGCGUUCCAUGUUAGGAAGAACUCCGUUCCUGCAUUCAGAAAUUCAAGUUGAACGUUUUUUUCUCUAGCAACUCUUUCAGCUCUCAUAAAGGAGUUGCAUAAUAUUUCAUUCGUUUCUGUGAGACUUAAUUCAUAAUCUUUUAAAAAAGUUUGAGUUUUUCUAAGAACAUUAGCACUAUAUUAGGCAUUUCUUGGAUUUCAUUCAUUUCUUUCUCAUGUCCACUGUCUUCCUAGCAACGCAAAGUCAGCAAAGUAGUUUUUUGUUUAAAUGGUAACUUCCACUUUGGAACGAUUUUUUUCAUUUUAAUUCUGCCAUGAAGCUCAUAUACAAAAGUCAGAGGAAAUUCGAGAGCCCUCUAAUGGAGAAAGAGCGUGGGUGAGAAUAAAUCUCCCGGACUGAUUCCAUGCUAACAUCUCCAAUACUUUGAUUCGUCUAUUAUAUAUAUGUAUAUGUGUAUACACAUAUACAUAUAUAUAAAUUCUAUAGAUACCCUCUGAUAACCAUCUGAAGGAUACAGAAAAGAAUUUUUACAUAUCCAGAGUGCCCAACAUCCAUUAUCCAGACCUCCGGACAUCUGGAAGAUUAUCAUCUUGGACUAAACCAGAGGCUAAGAAUGCAGUACUGAUUCUUCUCAAGAAUGUACUUUUUACUAUAAGAACUCUCAAUUUUUGUUUCUUCUUUUUCUUCAAAACACUCUGAAUAUUGCCUAGUUACAUUUAUGAUUUGCAAAUCCUAAGACCCUUGAAUAAAUCUUUAUUAUUUAUUUCUA